UCUUUUGGUCACAUGACAGUGAAGCUAUUGAAGGAAAACAGCCUUUUCUGAGAACAUCAACCGGUAAUUUAUUGACGGUCCCUUAUUCAACACCGACGUUGACAGUGAGGGUGUCGAGUAGAUUUAACCGCGCUGCUGUUGUUAUUCCCGGUUAUGGAGAGAGAGAAGACACCGGUAGAUCCUCAGAGAAUGUCCGUCAGAUAUCCAACCUAAAACUAACUUCACCGCCGUAUUUACAGGAAAAUAUAUCCAACCUGAAACUAACUUCACCACAGUAUUUACAGGAAAAUAUAUCCAACCUGAAACUAACUUCACCGCCGUAUUUACAGGAAAAUAUAUCCAACCUAAAACUAACUUCACCGCCGUAUUUACAGGAAAAUAUAUCCAACCUAAAACUAACUUCACCGCCGUAUUUACAGGAGAAUAUAUCCAACCUAAAACUAACUUCACCGCCGUAUUUACAGGAAAAUAUAUCCAACCUGAAACUAACUUCACCGCCGUAUUUACAGGAAAAUAUAUCCAACCUGAAACUAACUUCACCGCCGUAUUUACAGGAAAAUAUAUCCAACCUGAAACUAACUUCACCGCCGUAUUUACAGGAAAAUAUAUCCAACCUAAAACUAACUUCACCGCCGUAUUUACAGGAAAAUAUAUCCAACCUAAAACUAACUUCACCGCCGUAUUUACAGGAGAAUAUAUCCAACCUAAAACUAACUUCACCGCCGUAUUUACAGGAAAAUAUAUCCAACCUGAAACUAACUUCACCGCCGUAUUUACAGGAAAAUAUAUCCAACCUGAAACUAACUUCACCGCUGUAUUUACAGGAAAAUAUAUCCAACCUAAAACUAACUUCACCGCCGUAUUUACAGGAAAAUAUAUCCAACCUAAAACUAACUUCACCGCCGUAUUUACAGGAGAAUAUAUCCAACCUAAAACUAACUUCACCGCCGUAUUUACAGGAAAAUAUAUCCAACCUGAAACUAACUUCACCGCCGUAUUUACAGGAAAAUAUAUCCAACCUGAAACUAACUUCACCGCCGUA